UACGUAGGGUGCGAGCGUUAAUCGGAAUUACUGGGCGUAAAGCGUGCGCAGGCGGUUUCGUAAGACAGAUGUGAAAUCCCCGGGCUUAACCCGGGAACUGCAUUUGUGACUGCGAGACUAGAGUGUAGCAGAGGGGGGUAGAAUUCCACGUGUAGCAGUGAAAUGCGUAGAGAUGUGGAGGAAUACCGAUGGCGAAGGCAGCCCCCUGGGCUAACACUGACGCUCAUGCACGAAAGCGUGGGGAGCAAACAGGAUUAGAUACCCUGGUAGUCCACGCCCUAAACGAUGUCAACUAGGUGUUGGGGAAGGAGACUUCUUUAGUACCGCAGCUAACGCGUGAAGUUGACCGCCUGGGGAGUACGGUCGCAAGAUUAAAACUCAAAGGAAUUGACGGGGACCCGCACAAGCGGUGGAUUAUGUGGAUUAAUUCGAUGCAACACGAAAAACCUUACCUACCCUUGACAUGCCAGGAAGAUUUCAGAGAUGAGAUUGUGCCCGAAAGGGAACCAGGACACAGGUGCUGCAUGGCUGUCGUCAGCUCGUGUCGUGAGAUGUUGGGUUAAGUCCCGCAACGAGCGCAACCCUUGUCAUUAAUUGCCAUCAUUCGGUUGGGCACUUUAAUGAGACUGCCGGUGAUAAACCGGAGGAAGGUGGGGAUGACGUCAAGUCCUCAUGGCCCUUAUGGGUAGGGCUUCACACGUAAUACAAUGGUCGGUACAGAGGGUUGCCAACCCGCGAGGGGGAGCUAAUCUCAGAAAGCCGAUCGUAGUCCGGAUCGGAGUCUGCAACUCGACUCCGUGAAGUCGGAAUCGCUAGUAAUCGCGGAUCAGCAUGUCGCGGUGAAUACGUUCCCGGGUCU
rnacentral:rRNA from 1 species